CCGUCUUACAAGUGUUCUUACCAUAGCCAAACAGGAGCAAAACCAAAUUGGCAAAAUAAUCUGUUGUUGAGCGUGGGUAAACAGUUGCAAGAUAAACCUAUGCUGACAGAAGUAUAUGUGUAGCUUUGGACAGGCACAAUUUAAGUAGCAAGGAUUAGCAAUAUUCGAAUGCAGAGUUAGCUAAGUUUAAUAAGUAUCCAAAGGACAAAUCACAAUUACUGGCUAAGAUGUGUCUAGACGUAGCGCAGCAAGAUGAAACUAAGUAUAAUGAACAAGCAAUAGAGCACAUUUUUCCUUUGUCCUGAUUUUUCCUGGAUUUUUCCAAAAGGCACUAGUAGGAAUCAAGAUUUUUUAUUUUUUCACUAUUUUUUUAUAUUUUUCUCUGAACAAGGAUCACAAAAGAUGUAACCACAAAAAUUGGCAACUACAACUAAGAUAAUAUGUGGUCUACAAAAAUUCAGCAAGUUCUCUGAAAAGCGUGCAAAACCCUUGUUAAUUUUUUUCUUUAUUUUCCUGAAUUUUUUGGCAAUUUUUAUGAGACCAAACAGCGUUUUGCCAAGUUUGGGUCGGGUCCAAAUGGUGUCAAGAAAAUGCUGUAAAAAUUUCAGAUUUUAUGAUAAACGAGCGAAAAGUUAUGCCUGUUUUAUCGAAGGUAUCUCAAGUUAUGUUUUUUGGAAAGCACAACACGGCGGCGGCGGCAGUAGUUAGGGAAAAGCGUCCCUAAACUCAAACACCGAUCACAGGAUGACUAACAAUAGUAGGGAUUCGCCUGAUGAUGUAAGGAGGGCUGCGAAGCAGGCAAAAUAAUAGUGGCUGGCAACCUAUCUAGGGUUAGCGCGGCGGCGAGAGAUCACACAAGGCGGCUAGCGGAGGCAAGUCGAGCAAUGUGGUGGCUUCGAAUUGUUGUUUAGAAAUAGUGGAUAGGAUAACGGUGGAAACUAAGAAUGGCAACGGUGCAAAUGAACUAUGACGAACACAAUCAAAACCAGCAACUAGACUCAACCACGGACACAAACUCAACAAAGCAAAUCUGAAAACGAAAUUGCAAGGCACAAUAGAUGAUAGGAUAGCGGAAAAUUAAACUAUUUUUUGGGGCUUUCUGUGGACUGUAGGUAAUCAACAAAUAUUAAUUUAGGGCAAACG
rnacentral:lncRNA from 1 species